rnacentral:rRNA from 1 species
UACGUAGGCAGCGAGCGUUGUUCGGAGUUACUGGGCGUAAAGAGUGCGUAGGCGGUUUUCUAAGUUUGGUGUGAAAUCUCCCGGCUUAACUGGGAGGGUGCGCCGAAGACUGGAAGGCUUGAGUAUGGGAGAGGUAAGCGGAAUUCCUGGUGUAGCGGUGAAAUGCGUAGAUAUCAGGAGGAACACCGAUGGCGAAGGCAGGUCUCUGGGCCGAUACUGACGCUGAGGAGCGAAAGCGUGGGGAGCGAACAGG